AGCGAACGCUGGCGGCAGGCUUAACACAUGCAAGUCGAACGCCCCGCAAGGGGAGUGGCAGACGGGUGAGUAACGCGUGGGAACAUACCCUUUCCUGCGGAAUAGCUCCGGGAAACUGGAAUUAAUACCGCAUACGCCCUACGGGGGAAAGAUUUAUCGGGGAAGGAUUGGCCCGCGUUGGAUUAGCUAGUUGGUGGGGUAAAGGCCUACCAAGGCGACGAUCCAUAGCUGGUCUGAGAGGAUGAUCAGCCACAUUGGGACUGAGACACGGCCCAAACUCCUACGGGAGGCAGCAGUGGGGAAUAUUGGACAAUGGGCGCAAGCCUGAUCCAGCCAUGCCGCGUGAGUGAUGAAGGCCUUAGGGUUGUAAAGCUCUUUCACCGAUGAAGAUAAUGACGGUAGUCGGAGAAGAAGCCCCGGCUAACUUCGUGCCAGCAGCCGCCGUAAGAC
rnacentral:rRNA from 1 species